AAAUUGGUACUAAUACCCCAUAAUAUCAUAGAAGGCAUCUUUUAUGGUUGAAAAUUCCGAUGGUUAGAGAUGGGCAUGCGUUGUAUUAGCUAGUUGGUGGGGUAACGGCUCACCAAGGCGACGAUACAUAGGGGGACUGAGAGGUUAACCCCCCACACUGGUACUGAGACACGGACCAGACUCCUACGGGAGGCAGCAGUGAGGAAUAUUGGUCAAUGGACGCAAGUCUGAACCAGCCAUGCCGCGUGCAGGAUGACGGCUCUAUGAGUUGUAAACUGCUUUUGUACUAGGGUAAACUCACCUACGUGUAGGUGACUGAAAGUAUAGUACGAAUAAGGAUCGGCUAACUCCGUG
rnacentral:rRNA from 1 species